CUGAACAAUGACUUGGGAGGGGGGAGGGACACCAUCACCGGUUCCCAAAUUCUCAGUAGCCACAAACAUCUUCACCUGAGACCGCGAAUCAGGGAAAAGUGAACGACUGAGGAAGUUUGUGGAGGCUCAGUCCGUAGCCCCUUGCAGACUCUAGGACUCCCCUACACCACCCCCAGCUGGGUCAGAUCCAAAAAAAAAUAAAAGUAAAACUACCCCCGCUCCCACCAUCAAUAAUAACCCAACAUUUUUCAUUCAAUCAAUUCUUUAUUGAUUUUGAUUCCUCAAUGAAAAGGUUGCAGACUGACGGGGCGCUGUCGUUCCCGUACCCCUAUCUCAGGCCUCGGGAGCUGGGAACUAGGGAAGUGGGGAGCCACCUCCUCCAGCGCCGCCGCCUCAGGGCCCUUCCUGAACUCCCUCCAAUUAUCCAGUCAGGCCAAUCCCCUUUUCACACCUCCUCCCUCCUUAGCACCCCCUCCCCAUCCACAGAGGUGGCAGCGGGUUCAGCAGCUGCAGUUCCAACCAGGACAAGGGUAUUAAAAACAAAUAAAUAAAACCUAAACCUUGAACACUCUAAUGUGCCGCCUCCUCCUCAAAAAUAAAAUAAAAUAAAAUAAAAUAAAUCCCACGAUGCUGAGCAGUGUUCCUCCCCUAUCCAGCUACUCCUCUUUCGGCUUUUACGUCAUUGGGGAAGAAAUCGACAAAAUGAAUGAACGCGAUCCCUACCUAUCCUCCUUUCCCUCAGGGCCCCGGCCCGUAGCACCCACACGUGGGCUGAAGAGUUGCGGAGACUUUACCUGCGGGUCUCCCCGGAGGCUGCUCCAGCCCAAGCCGCAGAGAGAGAAGUAGGAAAGGUGAAAGAGGGAGAGGCAGACCCAAAGACAGACGGACAGGCGGACGCACACACGCAGGAGGGUGCAGACACCCUUCUCUCCUCCCCACAGGGUGCUAGGACCCUAGUCGAAUGGGUACCGAGGACCCGGCAAGCCAGGAGGGGUAACCCGGGAAAGGCAAGGAAGGGAAGAGGGGAAGCCGGCAGGCUGGGAGGAGGGAAGGGCGACCAGCGACACUUCCGCUAGGGGAGGGUGCUGCCCGGUGACGCGAGCCUGGCCCUCCCCUUCGCCGCCUGCAGCCAACCCCCUAAGCCCGCCUCCCUCGGCUCCGGGCACCUCCUGCCUGGCUCAACUAGGGGCCGCCCCGCACCUCCAGUGUCGCCUGGCCCUCGGGGAGUUGCAGAAAUUCUCUGUCUCCCUCUAUCCCACCUGGGAGGUUCAAGGCACAGGUCAAGAUAGAAGAUAUGGACGCUGCCCUCAAGCAACUUACAUUCUAAUUGGGGAGACAAAGCAUAUACACAUGGAAAAAAAGUCACAAAUAAAGUAAUGCAGAACUCUGGAUUUAGAGUCUGACAACGUGAAGAAAAUUGAGGCUCAGUGUUAAAUGGCAUCCAUGAUCAUUAUACAGAUGUGGCACGUCAGAGGUGGCAUUCAAGACUAGAACUUCCUAAUUCUCAUCAAUCCCUCUCUCCACUAUGGAACAGUCUCCAUAUUUAACCAAGACUGGGUUUCUUAUUUGGUUUGUAAGCUAUCUCAGACAGUAAUUAUUUCAGAGUCAAAGAUCAUAAAUAGAAUGCUCAGGCAAUGGGAUACUGAGUUGGGAGCCUAUCACCAAACUCAAUUGACGGUCCAAAUGACAACAAAUCAACCUUAACGAUGGUGAUUCUUUAAGACAACUGGCCCAUUGCUUUGGUGAUUUGGGUGGACUUCAAGAGUUUAUGAAUCGGGAGUUUGAUGUGGCAGCUUCCAAAGCUUGAGUUGCAUUCAUGAAAGGUAAAAUGCCCCAACUAAAAGAGGUGAUAGUCCCAUUAUAUUCUGGUCCUAAUCAAACCAUAUCCAGAGUAUUGUGUCUAGUUCUAAGUACCAUAUUUUAGGAAGGCAACUGAAAAGAUGGAGUGCAUCUAGAAAACAGUGACCAAGAUGAUAAAAUGAAUAGAAACCAGGGCUAUAAGAGGAUCAGUUCAUGGAACAGCAUAUAAAUGUUUAUCUUAGACAUAAAGGGAAGAUUUGGAAGGGGGUACAUGAAAACUCUUCAAAUAUAUUAAAGGAUUCCUUUGGAAAAGGGUUUGUUGUCA